rnacentral:rRNA from 1 species
GAUGAACGCUGGCGGCAGGCCUAACACAUGCAAGUCGAGGGGUAGAAGGAGCUUGCUCCUUUGAGACCGGCGCACGGGUGCGUAACGCGUAUGCAAUCUACCUUGUACAGGGGAAUAGCCCAGAGAAAUUUGGAUUAAUGCCCCAUAGUAUAUAACCUUCGCAUGUUGGUUAUAUUAAAGUUCCAACGGUACAAGAUGAGCAUGCGUCCCCUUAGUUAGUUGUUAAGGUAACGGCUUACCAAGACGAUGAUGGGGAGGGGUCCUGAGAGGGAGAUCCCCCAGACUGGUACUGAGACACGGACCAGACUGGUACGGGCGGCAGCAGUGAGGAAUAUUGGGCAAGGGGCGCAAGACUGAACCAGCCAUGCCGCGUGCAGGAAGACGGUCCUAUGGAUUGUAAACUGCUUGUAUACAGGAAGAAUCCCCCCCACGUGUGGGAGCUUGACGGUACUGUAGGAAUAAGCAUCGGCUAACUACGUG